GCCGGGUGCCAUGGCUCACGCCUGUAAUCCCAGCAUUUUAGGAGGCUGAGGUGGGUGGAUCACCUGAGGUCAGGAGUUCUAGACCAGCCUGGCCAACAUGGUGAAACCCCAUCUCUA
rnacentral:SRP_RNA from 1 species